UGAGUUUGAUCCUGGCUCGAGGACGAACGCUGGCGGCGUGCCUAACACAUGCAAGUCGAACGGAAACUAUUCGAGAAUUUCGGUUCAUGAAUAGUUUUAGUGGCGGACGGGUGAGUAACGCGUGAGAAUCUGCCUUUGAGUGGGGAAUAACAGUUGGAAACGACUGCUAAUACCGCAUAAUAUGGAAACAUCAAAGAGGGUGCAAGCCCUCGCUCAGAGAUGAGCUCGCGUCUGAUUAGCUAGUUGGCAGGGUAAGAGCCUACCAAGGCGACGAUCAGUAGCCGGCCUGAGAGGGUGAACGGCCACAUUGGAACUGAGACACGGUCCAAACUCC
rnacentral:rRNA from 1 species